GUGGGUAUAGCUUACUGGUAGAGCUCAUGCUUGGCAUGGAUGAGGUCCUGGGUUCAAUCCCAGUACCUCUA
rnacentral:tRNA from 1 species